GAUCCGGUGGUGGAAUGGUUAACAUGCCCAUUUGUGUUACGCGAGCUCGAUAUUUGGUAGGAGAUCCCUGUUCGAGUCAGGGCUGGGUCA